rnacentral:rRNA from 1 species
UACGUAGGGGGCUAGCGUUGUCCGGAAUCAUUGGGCGUAAAGAGCGUGUAGGCGGUCCGGUAAGUCCGCUGUGAAAGUCGGGGGCUCAACCCUCGAAUGCCGGUGGAUACUGUCGGGCUAGAGUGCGGAAGAGGCGAGUGGAAUUCCUGGUGUAGCGGUGAAGUGCGCAGAUAUCAGGAGGAACACCUAUUGCGAAGGCAGCUCGCUGGGACGUUACUGACGCUGAGACGCGAAAGCGUGGGGAGCAAACAGG